UUUUUGGAGAGUUUGAUCCUGGCUCAGAGUUAACGCUGGCGGCGUGCCUAACACAUGCAAGUCGAGCGAGGGUCUGUACGACCUAGCGGCAGACGGGUGAGUAACACGUAAACAAUCUGCCCUCGAGUGGGAGACAACCAAGCGAAAGUUUGGCUAAUACCCCAUACAAUCCUCUUGAGGCAUCUCAGGAGGAUGAAAGGAGCAAUCCGUUCGAGGAGGAGUUUGCGGCCUAUCAGCUAGUUGGCGGUGUAAAAGACCACCAAGGCUAUGACGGGUAGCCGAUCUAAAAGGAUGACCGGCCACAAGGGCACUGAGACACGGGCCCUACUCCUACGGGAGGCAGCAGUGGGGAAUUUUGGACAAUGGACGAAAGUCUGAUC
rnacentral:rRNA from 1 species